rnacentral:rRNA from 1 species
CUUUCCCUCUUUCUUCAUGCUUUACACAUGCAAGUCGAACGGUAACAGGCCUUCGGGUGCUGACGAGUGGCGAACGGGUGAGUAAUGCAUCGGAACGUACCCAGAGGUGGGGGAUAACGCAGCGAAAGCUGUGCUAAUACCGCAUGUGAUCUGAGGAUGAAAGCGGGGGACCGAGCAGCAAUGUUUGGCCUCGCGCCUUUGGAGCGGCCGAUGUCGGAUUAGCUAGUUGGUGGGGUAAAGGCCUACCAAGGCGACGAUCCGUAGCUGGUCUGAGAGGACGACCAGCCACACUGUGACUGAGACACGGCCCAGACUCCUACGGGAGGCAGCAGUGGGGAAUUUUGGACAAUGGGCGCAAGCCUGAUCCAGCAAUGCCGCGUGCGGGAAGAAGGCCUUCGGGUUGUAAACCGCUUUUGGCAGGAGCGAAACGGUGUCCGCUAAUACCGGGCGCUAAUGACGGUACCUGCAGAAUAAGCACCGGCUAACUACGUG